AUGACAGUCGUAUAAAUUGAGUAUGUCGUCUUUCCAAGUCGAUGGUCUACCUGUUGUAGUUGUCUUA
rnacentral:tRNA from 1 species